AGGAUCAUCAGGGCAUGGCCAAGGACUGUCCUGGUGGCGUGUAGGAGGAGUUUGGCCGGAAAUUGGCCACGUAGGGGUCGGAUUUUGGCUAUAAAUAGCCAAGGGUUUCGGCCGAAUUUGAAUCAUCAAAUCGCUCAAGUUUGAGAGCGAAUCGAGGGAAACCAAUAAGGAGCUUUUGAUCCUUGAGGGAAGGGGAUCAUUUCUGGAGAUUUUGGGAAUUUUUGGGGUAGUAUAGAGGGUGUUUUCGCAUAUAUAUACAUUCGGCCGUAUAUAUAUAUAUAUACAUUUUGCGUGAAAUACCAAAUCGGGUUGUAGAGUGAUCGAUCGAGCGAUCUAAUAAGGGGCUUUUGUUCACAAGGUGAUAGGUAACUGAUCUGGAAAGUUUCGUGCCAAUCGGAGUUCGAAUCGAGGGUCAAUUUGAUUCGCCGGAGUUCGGUGGCGGGAUAGCUUCGGCCGACUGUUUUUGGCCAAAUCGGAAGGCUUCCGGUGGUUUUUUCCGAGCAAUAUUGGUACCAUUGGGAUCAACUAAGGGAGAGGAACAGCCUGGUGUCGUCGCUUCAAUUUUCCGGUGUGCCGUCGCCGGAGAAGAUGAUCGGAGGGUUCCUUGAGGGUUGAGACGAAGUGACUCGUGCGAAGAUCAAAGAAGGCACGCAAAUCGAGGCAGGCACGCAAAUCGAGGUGUACCGAAAUAUCGCCAAAGGUGAAAGCAGUGGCGCCAAGGGAAAGAAUAUCAUCGAGAUGUAGCGGCUAUGUUUAGUUUUCGUAGGUUUUGUCCAUGAUUACGAUGUUCAGAGGUUAUGUAAUAUUUUGAUAUUUUUAUGUGAAACAUCGAUUUGGUUAUUGUAAAGGAAUUAUCGGUUAUAUAUCAUUGAGGUUUCGAUCUUGCUUCCGCUGAUGUGAUUGUUGAUACCUGUCUUAGUUUAUUAUUAAAUUUUAAUAUGCUAAGAAGGUACGAUCGGGAUUGACGGGAAAUGAUUAUGAUGAAGGUAUAUGUAUUGAGAGACUUAUGUUGUGUGUUUGAUGUUGGAAAAAAAAAAAAUAUUCUCGAAAUCUCGAGUUAACGCUCGUUAUGGGAAAAUGGGGCGUUACAUCCUCCCUCCUACACGCACUCUCUAUCUUGUUCUCUCUCUAUCGAUCUCUUUUCGAGAGAGAUUUUCCU